UACGUAGGGACCAAGCGUUGUUCGGAUUUACUGGGCGUAAAGGGCGCGUAGGCGGCAAUUCAAGUCAGUUGUGAAAUCUCCGAGCUUAACUCGGAACGGUCAACUGAUACUGUUUUGCUAGAGUACAGAAGGGGCAAUCGGAAUUCUUGGUGUAGCGGUGAAAUGCGUAGAUAUCAAGAGGAACACCUGAGGUGAAGACGGGUUGCUGGGCUGACACUGACGCUGAGGCGCGAAAGCCAGGGGAGCAAAAGGG
rnacentral:rRNA from 1 species